rnacentral:rRNA from 1 species
UGGAAGAGAAGUGAUCCUUGCUCAGGACGAACGCUGGCCGGCGGGGCUUAUACAUGCCAGUCGAGCGGACAAGAUGGGAGCUUGCUCCCUGAUGUUAACGGCGGACCGGGUUAGUUACACGUGGGGUACCCGCCUGUAAGACUGGGAUAACCCCGGCGAACCGGGGCUAAUACCGGAAGCUUGAUUGGACCGCAUUGGUCAAUUAUUAAAGGUGGCCUUUAGCUACCACUUACAGAUGGACCCGCGGCGCAUUAGCUAGUUGGUGAGGUAACGGCUCACCAAGGCGACGAUGCGUAGCCGACCUGAGAGGGUGAUCGGCCACACUGGGACUGAGACACGGCCCAGACUCCUCACGCGAGGCCGCAGUAGGGAAUCUUCCGCAAUGGACGAAAGUCUGACGGAGCAACGCCGCGUGAGUGAUGAAGGUUUUCGGAUCGUAAAACUCUGUUGUUAGGGAAGAACAAGUACCGUUCGAAUAGGGCGGUACCUUGACGGUUCCUAACCA